rnacentral:rRNA from 1 species
UACAGAGGAGCCAAGCGUUGUCCGGAUUGACUGGGCGUAAAGCGCACGCAGGCGGUUGCGCGCGUGGGGUGUGAAAUCUGGCCGCUUAACGGCCAGGCGCCAUCCCAUACGGCGCGACUGGAGUGAUGCAGAGGUCGAUGGAAUUGCCGGUGUAGUGGUGAAAUGCGUAGAUAUCGGGAGGAACACCAGUGGCGAAGGCGGCUUUCUGGCCUGUUCUUGACGCUGAGGCGCGAAAGCCAGGGGAGCAAACGGG